rnacentral:rRNA from 1 species
CUACGGGACGCUGCAGUGAGGAAUAUUGCACAAUGGGGGGAACCCUGAUGCAGCAACGCCGCGUGGAGGAUGACGCAUUUCGGUGUGUAAACUCCUUUUAUAUGUCAAGAAAAUGACGGUAGCAUAUGAAUAAGCACCGGCUAACUCCGUGCCAGCAGCCGCGGUAAUACGGAGGGUGCAAGCGUUACUCGGAAUCACUGGGCGUAAAGGACGCGUAGGCGGGUUGGAAAGUCAGGUGUGAAAUCCCACAGCUUAACUGUAGAACUGCACUUGAAACUUCUAAUCUAGAGUAUGGGAGGGGGAGAUGGAAUUAGUGGUGUAGGGGUAAAAUCCGUAGACAUCACUAGGAAUACCUAAAGCGAAGGCGAUCUCCUGGAACAUUACUGACGCUAAGGCGUGAAAGCGUGGGGAGCAAACAGGAUUAGAUACCCCAGUAGUC